AUUGAACGCUGGCGGCAUGCUUUACACAUGCAAGUCGGACGGCAGCACAGAGAAGCUUGCUUCUUGGGUGGCGAGUGGCGAACGGGUGAGUAACAUAUCGGAACGUACCGAGCAGUGGGGGAUAACUAAUCGAAAGAUUAGCUAAUACCGCAUAUUUUCUGAGGAAGAAAGCAGGGGACCUUUGGGCCUUGCGCUGUUUGAGCGGACGAUAUCUGAUUAGCUAGUUGGUGGGGUAAGGGCCUACCAAGGCGACGAUCAGUGGCGGGUCUGAGAGGAUGAUCCGCCACACUGGAACUGAGACACGGCCCAGACUCCUACGGGAGGCAGCAGUGGGGAAUUUUGGACAAUGGGCGCAAGCCUGAUCCAGCCAUGCCGCGUGUCUGAAGAAGGCCUUCGGGUUGUAAAGGACUUUUGUCAGGGAAGAAAAGGGCGGGGUUAAUACCCCUGUCUGAUGACGGUACCUGAAGAAUAAGCACCGGCUAACUACGUG
rnacentral:rRNA from 1 species